rnacentral:rRNA from 1 species
AACGAACGCUGGCGGCAUGCCUAACACAUGCAAGUCGAACGAGACCUUCGGGUCUAGUGGCGCACGGGUGCGUAACGCGUGGGAACCUGCCCUUAGGUUCGGAAUAACUCCCCGAAAGGGGUGCUAAUACCGGAUAAUGUCUUCGGACCAAAGAUUUAUCGCCUUUGGAUGGGCCCGCGUUGGAUUAGCUAGUUGGUAGGGUAAAAGCCUACCAAGGCGACGAUCCAUAGCUGGUCUGAGAGGAUGAUCAGCCACACUGGGACUGAGACACGGCCCAGACUCCUACGGGAGGCAGCAGUGGGGAAUAUUGGACACUGGGCGAAAGCCUGAUCAAGCAAUGCCGGGUGAGUGAUGAAGGCCUUAGGGUUGUAAAGCCCUUUUACCCGAGAUGAUAGUGACAGUACCGGGAGAAUAAGCUCCGGCUAACUCCGUG